CCAGUUGUUACGCCAUUUGGUGGAUUGCUCGGCUCGAGUGCUGAAGAAGGUCGUGCCAAGCCGCGAUAUUACUCCGUGUAGGCGCAAGGAGCCUUUGAUGCGGAGAUAACCUAAUGGGAAUCCCACCACUUUUGUGGUACUCACUUAUGUGAGGAGGAACCUGCCGAAUUGAAACAUCUAAGUAGGCAGAGGAAAAGAAAUCAAUAGAGAUUGGGUUAGUAAAGGCGAUCGAACACCCAACAGGGCAAACCGAAUCCCCUAGCGACGAACUAGGGGACAUGUGGAGUUUGGACUCAUUUACUCCCAAACUGGCAAACUCGAAGUCCUCUGGAAAGAGGUACCAUAGAGGGUGAUAGUCCUGUAGAGGUAAACCAGUGGAAGAUUUUUGAGUAUCCAGAGUAGCGUGCGUUGGAUAUCGCGCGUGAAUAUGGGAGGCAUAAACUUCCAACCCUAAAUACAACUCGAGACCGAUAGCGUAGUAGUAGCGUGAGUGAAAGUUGCAAAGUACCCCUUGCGGGAGGUGCAAAGAGCAUGAAAUCAAAUGGUUACAGACUGAUAAGGCAUUAAAGCAACGAAACCGAAAGGUGGAGCAGUGUCUUAUCGUCCGUUUCGAAAAAUGGGCCAGGGAGUUCCUGGUAAUGGCGAGGUUAAGGGUGAAGAACCUGAAACCAUAGCGAAAGCAAAUGUCCGCAGGCAACAAGGGACUAGGUGUGCUCGCCUGUAGUCAUUACCUCGAGACCCGAAGCCAGUCGAUCUAUGCGUGGUCAGGUUGAAGCCCUGUGAAAACGGGGUGGAGGACCGAACCGGUGCUGAUGUGCAAAUCGCUCGGAUGAGCUGCGUAUAGGGGCAAAAGACCAAUCUAGACUGGCAAUAGCUGGUUCCCCCCGAGACUACUCGUAGGUAGAUCUCUGAUGAGAUGGAUCGUGAGGUAGAGCACUAAUUGGGCAUUUAGGGGAAGAAAUUCCUCGGUGUCUUGUUAAACUCCGAAUGUGCGAUCAUCGUAGAAUCAGGGUAGUGAGGGCAUCUGGGGUAAGCUUGAUGUCCAAAAGGGAAACAACCCAGCCUUAUGUUAAGGUCCCAAAGUACUAGCUCAGUGUCAUAGAACAAAGAGUGUUUAUGACCUCAGACAACCAGGAGGUUGGCUUAGAAGCAGCCAUCCUUUAAAGAAAGCGUAACAGCUCACUGGUCGAGGUUGUAUGCCUUGAAAAUGGACGGGGCUAAGCUAGUCACCGAUACAUAAGCACUCCCAAAAGGAGAUUGAGUAGGGGGGCGUCGUGCGUGGGUAGAAGUUUGGCCGUGAGGUCAAGUGGACCGCGUUCGAACGAGAAUCCUGGCAAAAGUAGCAGCUAAAGUAGAGUGAGAAUCUCUACCACCGAAAGGGCUAGGGUUCCUCGACGAUGAUCAUCAGUCGAGGGUUAGUCGGUCCUAAGGCUUGUCUUAAACGAACAAGUCGAAAGGGAAACAGGUUAAUAUUCCUGUACUUAUCAUAUAUUUGCUUAAAUUUCAACGCAUUCGGGUAGAUCUUGCAGAUUUGUCUGUCUGUUCAAGCGUAUUAAGUUGAGGAAGUACCGUAAUGGUGAGAACUUGACCAAAGCGUGAUGAGUCUACCAAUUUUUGGUGGAUAAGAUUUAUCCCAAGUGCCCGUGAAAAGGAAUUUAAGAUGUAAUAUGGUAAUCCGUACCGAGAACUGACACAGGUGUCUCUAGCUGAGAAGGCUAAGGUGUAUCGGAUUAAUUGAGGCAAGGGAACUCGGCAAAUUAGCCCCGUACCUUCGGUAUAAGGGGUGCCUGCUUUGUAGAAAGCAGGUCUCAGUAACUAGGGCGCUCCGACUGUUUAGUAAAAACACAGGAGACCGCAAGUCCGAAAGGAUGUGUAUGGUCGCCGAAUCCUGCCCAGUGACGGUAUCUGAAAACCUCAUUCAAGGGGAAGAAGGACCGUUAAACGGCGGGGGUAACCAUGACCCUCUUAAGGUAGCGUAAUACCUUGCCGCUUAAUUGGCGGCUUGCAUGAGUGGCUUAACGAGAGCGCUACUGUCCCUGCCUUGAGCCCGGUGAAAUUGACUUACUGGCGCACAGUCCAGUACCUUCUAGAAGGAAGCGAAGACCCCGUGGAGCUUUACUACAGCCUGUCGUUGUGAUACGGUUUUAAAUGUAGAGCGUAGGUGGGAGCCAUCGAAGCCUAGACGCCAGUUUAGGUGGAGGCGACAAUGUAACACCACCCUUUUUUGACCGCGUCACUAACUUUAACUAGGACACCGAUAGGUGGGUAGUUUGGGUGGGGCGCCACACGCUCGAAAAGGUAUCAAGCGUGCCCAAAGGUCACCUCAGAGAGGUCAGAAAUCUCUCGUAGAAUGCAAGGGUAAAAGGUGGCUUUACACGGAUUGGAACAAUAACAAUCCGCGUUGCGAAAGCAGGGCCUAGCGAACCAAUCAACCUCCUUUAUGGGGGUGAUUGAUAACAGAAAAGUUACCCCGGGGAUAACUGAGUUGUCUUCAGUAAGAGCCCAUAUCGACCUGAAGGCUUGCUACUUCGAUGUCGUCUCUCCGCAUCCUGGCGGUGCAGCAGCUGCCAAGGGUGGGGUUGUUCGCCCAUUAAAGCGGAUCGUGAGAUGGGUUUAGACCGUCGUGAGACAGGUUUGUUGCUAUCUUCUAGAAGCGUUGAUGCUUGAGGGGAAAGGCCCUUUAGUACGAGAGGAACAGGGGCCUGCAGCCACUAGUUUACCAGUUGUCCGACAGGGCAAUGCUGGGCAGCCACGCUGUACGAGAUAAAUGCUGAAAGCAUCUAAGCAUGAAGCUCACCCUAAGACGAGGCAUCAUAGAGCUCGAAUAUAAGAUUCGUUUGAUAGGGCUAAGGUGUAAGCAUGAAGCUUCGGCGACAUGUUCAGCCUGUAGCUACUAAUCGCUCGUUUGCUGGCUC
rnacentral:rRNA from 1 species